GACGAACCGUACGAACGUUAUUCGGAAUCACUGGGUUUAAAGGGUGCGUAGGUGGGAAUGUAAGUCAGUGGUGAAAUCUCUGAGCUUAACUCAGAAACUGCCAUUGAUACUAUGUUUCUUGAAUUUUCUGGAGGUCAGCGGAAUAUGUCAUGUAGCGGUGAAAUGCUUAGAUAUGACAUAGAACACCAAUUGCGAAGGCAGCUGGCUACAGGGAUAUUGACACUGAGGCACGAAAGCGUGGGGAUCAAACAGG
rnacentral:rRNA from 1 species